rnacentral:rRNA from 1 species
UGCUAAAGCGGUGGCUGGAGCGGGGGUAAUACGGGGGUGGAGAGCGUUAAUCGGAAUUCAUAGGCGGAAAGGGCACGCAGGCGGUUGGAUAAGUUAGAUGUGAAAGCCCCGGGCUCAACCUGGGAAUUGCAUUUAAAACUGUCCAGCUAGAGUCUUGUAGAGGGGGGUAGAAUUCCAGGUGUAGCGGUGAAAUGCGUAGAGAUCUGGAGGAAUACCGGUGGCGAAGGCGGCCCCCUGGACAAAGACUGACGCUCAGGUGCGAAAGCGUGGGGAGCAAACAGGAUUAGAUACCCCUGUAGUC